GUUCUGCCCAAUAUAAUCAUCUCCCUGCAUUCACCAAACUGAUGACACAUGAUCUUCCAUUACAAUGAAGUACACCAAUUUCCAACAGCAAAAUAUAUACUCAACUCCUGGAACUCAUUCCAUGCAAUCAAAAACAGGCAAAGCAUUCAGUUACAUUAAAAGCCAGGGCUAACAGAAUACAACCACAUACCAAUUAAUGCUAUCAUAUUCUUAAUUUAGUGAGUUCUAUCACUUGUCCAGAACAACUAAUUUUACCGCUCAACUACAUUAACAUAGAAGCCAAGACUUCAGCAUUUUAUCAUGAGGAACAUCGAACAACAGCUUAUAAUUUACUUAUAGCAGAACAUCAUCCCAAUUCUUGCAUUAUUCGCUAUUGAUAGCUUCUAUCUUCCCAGCAGAAGGCAGAUGAGGAAUGUUGCAUCAAAAUUCAUCCACUACUGAACACUGAAUGAGUUUAUAGAAAAGGUAUUCUUUAUUGGUAUGGUUUAAGUACCUCGCAAUGUUACAACAAUAAUAGGUUAACACUGGUCGACAGGUAAUUAUUUGCAUCCAUUUAUUUAGGAAACAAUUGCCAAAAACUUUUGGUAUUAAGAUUUGCAAGCGUUCUGGACCUCCAGUAUGAUAAUUUUCCAUCCAAUUCUAUCCAAUGGACUAUCAUUUCUGGGUAAUGAACAAUGAAAUCCAACACUACACGCUUUUUUCAAUUGGUGUCACUUCUUUAAAACUCAUCAACAGUGGCAAUAAACUUUAACAAUUGAAAUAAUUGUAGCCACUGGUCAGUUUUCUCUCUUUAGGAAAUUAAAGUUUCCACAAAGUUUCUCUCUCUAAACCAUGUCAUACCUUUAUCCAUCAUUACGUACUAGAGGGAAAAAAGUUAGAAACCCAAUUUCCUAAAGAGAGAAACUGACCAGUAGUAUUAAAAUCCACAGCAACUAUUGAUAACUUUUACAGAAGUUGCCACAAGUGAAAAAAUGGCAACAAUUUUGGAUUUUAUCGGUUAUUAGGAUUUAGACACAUUACUUAUCAACGAAUAAAACAUAUUACUUAACAAUAAGCAAACCAGAAAUCAUCAGCAACUUUGAAUAAACAAGCACGAUUUCAAGCCAGGUCAAUUUGUAGAAGAACCGUAGAAAAAUUCUAAUAGUUAUAUUUGCCACAAGAAAAAUAAUUUUGCCAUCAAGUUUUUGAACUUGAAGAAUAAAUUGCAUCAAUAUCAUAAGCACAAUGUUAUUGACACCUGUUCUAACUCUACAGUUUUCAAUGUACUGCACACAUAAAUCUUAACCUAUUGAUUGAACAUUGUUGUCAAACAAGAGACAAACAAAAAUUGAGUAAAUUGCACCUACCGUUCCAUCCCUGAACAUUAAUUUGUUACAACGAAGUCACUCAACUUUAAUUUUGUUUCGGGAAAGUCCAUCUAAUUGGCAAUAACAGGUUUGCACAUUAAAAAGAUAAAAUUACUCUUUUGCCCCUCUCUCAUAAAUAAAUUUAUCAUUUUAUCCUUUUUUUCAUUCUUUUUUCCUUUCACUUUUAUAAUCAAAUUAAUUA
rnacentral:misc_RNA from 1 species